rnacentral:rRNA from 1 species
GACGUAGGGCGCGAGCGUUGUCCGGAUUUAUUGGGCGUAAAGAGCUCGUAGGCGGCUUGUCGCGUCGACUGUGAAAACCCGCGGCUCAACUGCGGGCUUGCAGUCGAUACUGGCAGGCUUGAAUCCGGGAGAGGGAUGUGGAAUUCCAGGUGUAGCGGUGAAAUGCGUAGAUAUCUGGAGGAACACCGGUGGCGAAGGCGGCAUCCUGGACCGGUAUUGACGCUGAGGCGCGAAAGCUAGGGGAGCAAACGGG